GCGUGCUCGAAAAUGUUAAAGUUCUUAUUUCAUGGUAUAACUUUGGUAUGCUUGGACCUAGAGUCUUCAAACUUGACAUGAAGGUUGGCCAGGAUUAACAGAUGACCACUGGUCAUUUCAAGGUCAUUCAUUUGAAGGUCAAGGUCACUGUGACCUUCAAUAUAAAAAAUGUUAAAGUUGUUAUAACUUUGGUAUGCUUGGACCUAGAGUCUUGAAACUUGACAUGAAGGUUGGCCAUAACUAGUUAGUAACCACUGGUCAUUUCAAGGUCAUUCAUUUGAAGGUCAAGGUCUUUGUGACCUUGAAUGUAAAAAUGUUAAAGUUCUUAUUUCAUGGUAUAACUUUGGUAUGCUUGGACCUAGAGUCUUCAAACUUGACAUGAAGGUUGGCCAGGAUUAACAGAUGACCACUGGUCAUUUCAAGGUCAUUCAUUUGAAGGUGAAGGUCACUGUGACCUUCAAUAUAAAAAUGUUAAAGUUGUUAUAACUUUGGUAUGCUUGGACCUAGAGUCUUGAAACUUGACAUGAAGGUUGGCCAGAACUAGUAAGUAACCACUGGACAUUUCAAGGUCAUUCAUUUGAAGGUCAAGGUCACUGUGACCUUGAAUGUAAAAAUGUUAAAGUUGUUAUAACUUUGGUAUGCUUGGACCUAGAGUCUUGAAACUUGACAUGAAGGUUGGCCAGAACUAGUAAGUAACCACUGGACAUUUCAAGGUCAUUCAUUUGAAGGUCAAGGUCACUGUGACCUUGAAUGUAAAAAUGUUAAAGUUCUUAUAACUUUGGUAGGUUAAAAUGUUAAAUGUCAAUUCAAGUUCAUAUUUGUGACCUUAAAUGUUAUUGUUGUUCAUGUAUAUGCAUGCAUUCAAAACAUAACACAAGGUUUGCUCAUGCCUUGAAAAGUACUUACAUUUCAUUUUGACCUUUGAACAAUAUUUCAGUAAUUUAAGUAUUGCAUUGACAAAAACACGAAAGGUACUUUCCUGUCAUUUAAAUAAAAAAUCCGGCUUCAAUGCGGUCAUCUCCGACCGCGGAACUCUUGUUUUAAAAAUGCUGCUCACUCUCCAGCGAUAAUGCCUCUCCAGAAGGAUCACAAAAUUACAGCUCAAGCUAAGAAAAUUUGUAGCGAGUAAAGUCAUGAUGGAAAGCCAAUCUAAAUAACAAAUAAAAGCUAGUCACUUUCUUACUAAUACAUGUAUGGCUGGAAAUUGUGCGUCAUUCACAAAUAUAUCAUAAGUAAAUUAACAAAAUUAUUAAAGUGUAUAAAACAGCUAAAAAUAUAUGUUUCAGUAUGGAUGUUGCCAUCUUGAUUGUCACUUGAUUAUCCCCUCUGACAGUCAUUCAUUUUCAAAACUUACUCUUAACUUACUCUUUAAAAAAGCAUUCUUAUCAAGAUUUUACAAUAUGCUCGUCAUGUUGAGAAUUGAAGGAAGUUAAAAGAACAUCCAACAACUGGAUUGCAUAAUUAAAAUAUGAACAAAACUGUAUUUGAUCAAAUUUUGUAUUUUAGACAAACUGUUUAGUAGCUUAACUUGUGGUUGGAAUGUUUGCUAAAGUACAGUCCACUUCUUUAUUCUAUUAUCAAAGUGAUUUGUAUGGAAUCCAGUUGUGAAGUGUUUUUUUACAUUUUACAAGUGGAAUGUUUUGAAUGUGAUUAUAUCGAACAUUAAAUGUUUACGAUAAACUGACAAAAGCAUAUGAUUAAGAUUUUACUGGUUCAUUCUGAAGCAAAUAAAGUGCAGCUUACUGUUGACAAUGAUCCUCUACGCAAUUUUAUGCAUUAAUUAUAAAAAAGAGUCUGCAUUUUUUAAUGGAAUUAACGUUUUUCUUUUUAAGCAUGCAUAACUCAUUUUUCACAGUUUGAUGUUUUAAGUUUGCCUAAGUUUUACAAUCUGCCCUCACUGAGUAUAUAUGAGCCUCAUUCUGGGUAUACCAGUUUUAAUUCAUGUGCCUAAAAUUAUGUCCUAGAUUAGCCUGUGAUUUCUUUACAUGCUUAUCAGGGACGACACUGUCCGCUUUUUUGGUUAAAAAAAGUCUAUUUGUAACAAAAAUCCAGUCUAGACAGAAACUAUCCUGACUGAUUAGCCAGUGUAUAUUGCAGAGGCUAAACUGGAAUGGCACAUGCAUUAACCCUUUCAGUGCGGGAACUGAAUUUUGAAGGCCUUUGCAAACAGUUUGGAUCCAGAUGAGACACCACAACGUGGCGUCUCAUCAGGAUCCAAACUGUUUGCUAUUCUGAUAGUAUUCUUUGAAAAAAAUCGAAGAAAAUGCUUAUUAUAGAAAUUCAGCAGACGACAUUUUAGCAGACGACAAAUUUCCCAGCAUGCAAAGGGUUAAGCUCAGUUUUCCAGAACGUGGCUCAUAUAUGCGGACUUAGUUUUGUGUCUCAUGAAAAACAAAGUUAGCAUACGACUUCAUUAAAUACUGGGUACACAUAUUUCAUCAUUGUCUAUGUUGUUGUAAAAUAUUGGAAUUUGAAUAAUUAAUAUGCAUAUAUGUUUAUGUUUUAGAAAUUUUUAUACAUGUAAUGGUUAUGACUUCCAUCUUAUGUUCCAUCUUACUUUAUGUUAAUUCAUUUAAUUAUAAACGUUUUUUUAUAUAUUAAUUAACAUUUCACAUGAACGUUUCACCCAUGCAAAGCAGUUUACAGAGUUUUGCUUCAUUUGUUUAGGGCUGUAUGAAAAUUCGUUGUGAUUGCUAUAAUUUAUUUGUUGUUCAUCUUGUUUUUAAUAUUGGUUGUUCUUUUUUAAUCUUCUGUUCUUUGUUCAGGAAAAUGUUAAUAUAGUUUUGUUUUAGUAUUGCUAUGUUUAUGUAUUUUUCUUUGAUAUACAUUAUUUAUUGAAUUUAUACACAUUUGUGUUACAUUAAAUGACAAAAUUUGAUUGUUUUGUUAAGAAAUUUUAUUUAUCUGAAUGUACUGAUUGGUUGCUUUUCUUUCUAUAAAAUGUUCAUUCUGAACAAUUUUACCCAAAACAAGUGUUGUACAUGUAUGUCAUUUUGAACAAGAAGCCGCUUAUCUGCUACUUUUCUGAAUGUUUUUAAUUAAAUGCGAUUAUUAUUAUCAUUAUUGUGUAUUUUAUAUACACAGAGCAUGCAACUGUUAAAUUAUUGUCAGAAUGACUUACUUUCCAAUUGAUUAUUGAUUUGAGAAUAGAAACUGUCAUUUCAUGGCAUGUAUAUAUUUUAGAAUUAUCAAAGUCAUUCAAAUAUUUUGUUCAAAACAAACUGCAUGCCCAUAGUUUUAUCGGUUUAUAAUACUGAUAUUUUCCUGUUAAUUUGUAUAUUUGCUACUUAUUUUAAAAACCAACUAUAGAGCUAAAAUGUAGGGAAAUACAAUACAAAAUUUCAAGCUUAACAUAUUUUAUGUAAUUGGAAUAAAUCCGGCAUUAAUACAAUUGUAAUCAGUACGCAUUAGUACUCAGGGUUAGGUGUAAAUAAGAGGCCUUUUAGAAAAUGUCUUUAUAUAAAAUGUUGUUUGUUUUUGUAUAAAACAUGUAUAUAUGAUAGCAUUCAGACAAGCACAUGGUUCAUAAUGCUGCUCAAACAUUUUUUUUCAAAAACGUUUGAGUUCUGACCAUUUAUUUUAAAAACUGUUGUUAUGUAUCUAUUAUAUCAAAUGGCCUUAGAUCUGCAAACAUUGUAUUCAUUGAAAGCUUACCCAACAAGCAAACCAUUAAUAGAAGAUUGAACCAUCAUUCUUUUUCAGUUAUAGUAUUUUCAUAUUUAUGACGAUACCAUUGUUUUGCUAUUUAGUUAAAAUUAUUAUAUUGUGUUGUUUCUGUUGACAAUUUGCUUCCCUGAUUGACACAUUUCUAUUGUGUGUAGUUAAUACUAGUUAUAAUUAUGGUUAGUCGAACCAAGUUGUGUUGCUUCUCUUUUCAUGUAGACCUUUUUGCUGCACUUUUUGUUUAUCAUCUCUAAUUUGUACAUACAGAAAUGCUUAGCCUAACCCAUACUUUAAGGUGUUGCUGCAGUUUUGCUGAUUUUUUUACCAUCAAAUAGAUUUUGUCAAAAAUUUAUAUUUAAGAUAUAGAUACAAAUACUAUAUGAAAAAUGUAAUAAAAACAUAGGGUCACUGGCCUUGUUUUGAUUUUAUUCACCAUUAUAUAACAUGUUCUUUUUCAAUAAAACUAAAAAUCUCUAAUUGCGUAAAAAUAAUUUAUAACCUAUGAAAUUGGCAACAUGUAGAUAUUAUUUAAGCUAAGAAACAUCAUAUACCAUUUAAUUAAACCACACGCUACCAAUAAAAUGGAGAACACAAGUAUGAUUUUAAGAAAUUUAUUUUUUUUAGAUUUUUAUGUCACAUAAGAAAACAUCAUUUUUUUACUAUUUUAACCACAUAAAUGAUUUUUAAAAAAAACUACCAUAUAGAAUUCUGCGAAACCAUACAGUAUCAAACUCAACCUUAAUCAUUAAUAACUUACAUGUUCACGGAUUUUGGCAUGUUUUGAAGUUUGUGUUUAAAUGCUUUAAAUUGAUUAAUGUAAACAGCAGGACUAAAGAGCUCCAGUAUAAAACAAGAAUGAAAUUAAAGAAAGAAAAAAAGUAAAAAAAAGUUAACUCGCCUGGGAUCGAACCACUGACAAUUGUGUUAUGAACCUACUCGGUCAUUUCUGAUGAUACUGAUAACAAAAAUAAUUAGUUGUGAUAAUAGUAUCAUCGGUGUUGCUAUGAAUAUAUCCUCGAUUAAAUAAACUGCUGCAACACCCCUUAACUUCAUAGCCUAAUGUUUUAAUAUAUUACAUCCUAAAUUCUUGUAUUGUUUGGCAAAACUUCAUGAAUUGCCCAUUUAUGUAUAUUUUAUUGGUAUUAUAUAUAAACGUAUAUAUAUUAUAAGAACAAAAGUUUAUCAAGAUUCAAAUUAUGUGUCAACAAAUAAAUAAUUUAUAAGUUAUUUUAUACCAAAGAAAAUAACUAUUUAUUUUAAUAUUUAUCAUUUUAUUUGUUUUUAAUUAGUUUAUUCCGCUUUUGUGGAAUUUUUUGCUAAUGGCGACUUGCCUGUAUUUUUGUGUAAAUGCCUUGAGACUUUUGUGCCAGUAUAACACCCGAGGUAAUAAUAUAGUCUGUGUAUAGCUAAUAGCCAUUUAUUGUUUGUGCAAUGUUGAAUUGACAAAUAAACUUAGCUCUUUA